rnacentral:lncRNA from 1 species
CUAAAGACUCUGGUCUUUAGGCAACAAAGAGUUCAAGAAAAUAUACUACCAACACAACUGCAGAUCAACAUCUUGGGUCAGACUAGAACAUGUCAGGAUGGGGUGACUAUCAAGACCACGGCAGUGGAGAUAAUUAUGGGAGCACAUUUGUUUUUAGGAAAGAAUCAGAACUGGAUCUUGGAGGAAGAGUCACAUAUGGUGAGGAAAAUGAUGAAGAUGAGCAUCAAGAAGAUACAAAGGUUCGAAAGAUAACCAAGGUCAAAAACUGGAUUCCUUCAGAACCACCAUCUAGAACUGGCUGGCUUCUUUACAAAAGGGGCCUCGAGUGAGGAGUGAAAUACUUACAACUACAUGAAUGCAAAGCAAAAACAAAUGAAGAAUGAAAAGAGAGGAGAAACAGAAAACAAUAAGCCUGGAGGGAGAAGAUUAUAUUGUGUGGGAGUACCAAUACCAGCAGGGAAAAAAUAGAAAAGUCAAUAGUCAACACAAGAAGUUUGGUUGUGCUGUGUGUCACUGAGAGCCUGAUGGACCGAAUGUGAGCUAAUGAUUACAAAAAGAAUUUCAGUUUGCCUCAAGUAGCCAUCUACACCUCUUGUUGUUUUUGAUUAUGAAGUGGUACAUUAUCGCAUUGAUAUUUCCUUUUGCUUUCUAUUGGUUCACAUGGAUUUGUAUUACCAGGUUAUUAUGUGAGGUUGUUAGGUGAUUCUGAGGCCUGCUUUAAAGAAGUUUAAGGUUAAAAAAAAAAAAAAAAGAAACCUUUUGAAUUAGUAUUUUCAUUUUCUUUGGCUAAAUACCCAGAAGUGGAAUUACUAAAUUGUAUGGUACUUCUAUUUCAGUUUUAUUGCAGCAUUAUUUACAAUGGAAUGAUGAAGGGAUGAACAAGAUGUGGCAUAUAUAUACAAGGGAAUAUUAAUGGAAUAUUACUCAGCUACACAAAAAAAGACUGAGAUCAUGCCAUUCACAACAACAUGGAUGGACCUGGAGUGUUUUAUGCUAGAUGAAAUAAGUCAGACAGAAAGACAAGUACCAGAGGUUUCACUUAUAUGUGGAAUCAAAACAACAAAACAAAUGAAUGAACUAAUAAACAAAGACAUAGACUCAUAACUAUAGAGAACAAACUGGUGGUUUCCAGGGGGUAGAGGAGCUGAGGAGCAGAUGAAAGAGGUGAUAGGCCUGAAGAGGUAGAAAUUUACAGUUAUAAAAUAAAUAUGUCAUGGUGAUGAAAAGUACAGCAUUGGAAAUAUAGUCAAUAAUACUAUAAUAACUUUGUAUGGUGACACAGAUAGUAAUUAAACUUAUGGUGAGCAUUUUGUUAUGUAUAUAAUUGUUGAAUCACUAUAUUAUACACCUGGAACUAAUAUAAUAUUCUGAGUCAACUAUGCUUCAAUUAAAAAUUUUAGAAAGGAACAAAGAGUAGAAACUUAUAGAUAAAUAUAUAAGAAUUAAUGUGGAUUAAUAUUUUGAAAAAUAAUAUUGGGAAUGCUAAAGAUAAGCUUGAUGGUUAAAUAGAUGGUGUUUUUAGUGUUUGUUUUUUAAAGAAUUGCUAUCGAUUUUCAGAUUAUAAGUUAAAAUAUUUUUACAUUUUCCAUUUUUUACUGGAAAACACACAUAACAUACAAUUUAUCUUAAUCAUUUUUAAGUGUCUAGUUCAGUAUUAAUACAUUCAUAUUGUUGUGCAACCAUCUCCACUAUCCAACUCCAGAAUGUUUUUUAUCUUGCAAAACUGAAACCCUAUACUUAUUAAGCAAUAACUCCUCAUUCCCUCCUUCCCCCAGCUGGUGGCACCCACCAUUCUACAUUUUGUCUGUGUGAUUGUGACUGCUCUAAGUCCCUCAUAUCAGUGGAAUCAUAUGGUAUUUGUCUUUUCUUGACUGACCUAGUUCACUUAGCAUAAUGUCCUCAAGCUUCAUCCAUGUUGUGACACAGAGCAGGAUUUCCUUCUUUUAUUAAGGUUGAAUAGUAUGCCAUUUCAUGUAUAUACCACAUUUUGUUUAUCCAUUUGUCCAUCCAGUGAUGGACACGAAUUGUCUCCACAUUUUAGCUAUUGUGAAUAAUGCAGCUUGAACAUGAAAACAGAUAUAUCUCUUCCAGAUACUGCUUUCAGUUUUCUUUUGGUUAUAUACCUGGAAUAGGAAUUGCUGGAUCAUGUGGUCAUUCUAUUUUAAAAUAUUUGAGGAGCCACCACACUGGUUUCCACAAUGGCUAUACCAUUUUGCAUUCAUAUUAACAAUGCACAAGGAUUCCUUUCUUCAUAUCCUUGCCAAAAUUUUUUUUUCUGUUUUUUUUUUUUUCUUAAUAGUCAUUCUAAUGGGUCUGAGGUGGUCUCACAUUAUAGUUUUGAUUUGCAUUUCCCCAGUGAUUAGUGAUGUCUAGCAUCUUUCCAGGUGCUUAUUGGUCACUUAUAUAUUUUCUUUAGAGAAAUGUCUAUUCAAAUUCUUUGACCAUUUUGAAUCAGGUUGUUUGAUUUUAAAAUUUUCAUGGAGUCCAAUUUGUUUACCUUUUCUUUUGUUGUCUGUGCCUUUGGCAUCAUAUACAAGAAAUGUAAUACUGUGAAGCUUUUGUUUUCUAUUGUCUUUUAAGAGUUUUUUUAUAUUUUCGGGUCUUACAUUUAGGUCAUGGAUCCAUUUUAGGUUGAUUUUUGUAUACAGUGUUAGGUAAGAGUCCAACUUCAUUCAUUUGCAUCUCUGGAUAUCCAGUUUUCCUAUAACUAUUUGCUGAAAAUACUAUCUUUUCCCUGUUGAAUGGUCUUGACAUCCUUUAUCAAAACUCAUUUGACUGCAUAUUCAAGGGUAUAUUUUUGGAGUCUUUUCUAUAUCCUUGGCAUAUAUGUCUCUUUUUAUGCCAGUACCACACUGUUUUGAUUAGUGUAGUUUUGUAGGAAGUUGAAAUCAGGAAGUGUGAGAAUUCCAAUUUUGUUCUUCUUUCAGUAUUAUUUUGGCUAUUCGGGGUCCCUUACAAUUCCAUGUGAAGCUUAGGAUGAUUUGUCCUAUUAUUGUAAGAAAUGUCUUUGGGAUUUUGAUAGGGAUUGCAUUGAAUCUUAAGAUUGCUUUGGCUAGUAUUGACAUCUUAACACUGUUAGGUCCUCCAACCCAUAAAUAAAUGCUUUUCAUUUGUUUAUGUCUUGUUUAAUUUCUUUCAAAAAUGUUUUGUAAUUUUCAUUGAACAAGUCUUUCACCUCCUUUGUUCAGUUAUUAGGGAGGAAAUUAUUUUUGGUGGUAUUACAAAUGGAAAUAAUUUUUUUCAGUUGUCAAAUUCUUUUUUUUAAAUUUAAAUUUGCCAACAUAUAACACCCAGUGCUCAUCUUACCAUGUGCCCUCCUUAAUGCCUAUCCCCCAAUUGCCCUGCCCUCCCACCCCCACCUCUCCUUCUGCAACCCUUUGUUUGUUUCCCAGAGUAGGAGUCUCUCAUGGUUUGUUUUCCUCUUUAAGUUUUCUCCACUCAGUUUUCCCCCCUUCCUUGUGGUCCCUUUCACUGUUUCUAAUAUUCCACAUAUGAGUGAAACCAUAUGAUAAUUAUCUUUCUCUGAUUGACUUAUUUCACUCAGCGUAAUACCCUCCAGUUCCAACCACAUUGAUGUAAAUGGUAGGUAUUCAUCGGAAAUUGUUUUUUAAUCUCCCUUUCAGGUUGUUCAUUGUUAGUGUUUAGAAAUGCAGUUGAUUUUUGUGUGUUGACUUUUUAUCCUGCUACUUUGCUGGAUUUUUUUGUCAAUUCUAACUUUUUUGCAUGGAAUCUUUAGAGUUUUCUGUGCAUAAGAUAAUGAUAUGUGAACAGAGAUAUUUUUACUACUUCCUUUCUAAUUUAGAUGCCUUUUAUUUCUUUUUCUUGCCUAAUUUCUCUGACUAGUAGUUCCUGUACUAUAUUUUUAAAUCCUCCCCGUUUUAUUGAGAAAUAAUUGACUUACAUUACUGUGAAGUUUAAGGUGUACAGCAUGAUGGUUUAAUUCACAAAUAUUGUGAAAUUAUUACCUAAUAGGUUUAGUUAACACUCAUCGUCUCAUAUAGAUACAGAGAAAAGAAAAGAAAAAAUACUUCUUGUGUUGAGAACUCUAAGGAUCUACUCUCUAACAAUUUUCUUGUAUACCAUAGAGCAAUGGUGGCUAUAGACACCAUUAUAUCUGUAGUACUUAUAUAUCUUACAACUGGAAGUUUGUAACUUUUGACCACCUUUCUCCAAUUCUCUCUCUUCCCACACUCCACCUCUAAUAACCACAAAUCUGCAAAUCUGACCUCUUUUUCUUUGAGUUUGGUGUCUUUUUAUUUUCAUAUUCCACCUCUAAGUGAGAUCAUGUAGUAUUUGUCUUUCUCUGUCUAACUUAUUUCAUUCAGCAUAAUGCCUUCAAAGUCUAUCUAUGUUGUCACCAGUGGUAGGAUUUCUUCAUUUUUUAUGGCUGAACAAUUAAUUGUCCCUUGUACAUGUGUACCACAACUUGUUUAUCCAUUCAUCUGGUGAUGGACAUUUAGGUUGUUUUCAUGUCUUUGCUAUUGUAUAUAAUGUUACUGUAAACAUCAAGGUGUAGAUAUUCUUUUCAAGUUAGUGCUUUUAUUUCCUUUGGAUAUAUUUCUAGAAGUGGAAUUGCCGAAUCAUAUGGCAGUAGUAUUUUAAUUUUUAAAGGAGCCUCCAUACUGUUUUCCAUAAUGGCUCUACCAUUUAUAAUCCCACCACCAGUACAUAAGGAUUACCUUUCCUCCAUAUCCAAGCCAGAAUUAGAAUUACCUCUUAUCUUUUUGUUGAUGGCUAGUCUAACAAGCAUAAGGUGAUAUCUCAUUGUGGUUUUAAUUUGCAUUUCCCUAAUGACUAGUGAUGUUGGGCAUAUCUUUAUAUACCUGUAGCCAUUCAUACAUUUUCUUUGGAAAAAUGUCUAUUCAGAUUCUUUGUCUAUUUUCCACUCACAAAGACUAGCUCAAAAUAGAUUAGACUUAAAAGUAAGACAUGGAACUUCUAGAAGAAAACAGGAAAAAUACUCCUUGAGAUGGCUCUUGGUUGUGAUGUUUUUGGAAAUCCCACCUAAAGUACAAGCAACAAAAUAAAAAAUUAAAGGGUAGGACUAUGUCACAUUAAAAAGGUUGCACAGCAAAAGAAACCA